rnacentral:sRNA from 1 species
GUUUUACUAGCAUGUUUUCCAAAAAUACUACUUGUAUUUUUCAUACAGAUUUGGAUCUAAGAAAUCGAUUUAUGAGUCAUAGAUUCGUAUGGUAAUUGUAGAACAUGAAGAUGGGUUACGAAGAAUAUCAAAAUCAGAGAGAAAUAAAAGAAUAUGGAAGUGAAAGAGAUAUGCAAGAGUAGAAAGAGACAUGUGGCUCUUGAAAUCAAUGGAGGUGGAAGAAAAUUGAAAAUUCUAAAUGACUAAAAAGAUUAGUGAAUUUUUCUUUAGAGCUCUAUUGCAAUGUCAGAGGAAACAAGGAUUGUAGUGGCGGUGGAGUUGAGGGUGGUGUUGAUGAUGAUGGUGCCAUGGUGGAAAGAUCAAGUUUGAGGUUUAAUAAUGGUGGUGAGAGAAAGAUAAACAAAAAAGAGAAAGAGUGAAUGGAGGUUAUAUAUGUCAUUUUCUCUAUCUCUCCGACAUGGUUCUGUAGAUCAUAGUUAGUUUCUUCUUUGUUUUCAAGUCAAAUGUUAGUUAAUGCAUAUACUCAUUAUUCAAUGGUAUUCUAACAUGUUUAACUUUAACCUAUAAAUACUUACAAUAAAGAUCUAUUUGAUAUUAUUCUUUUGACACCUUAAAACUGAGAAAAAAAUAAUCUCAUAAUGAUUUACAAAAAAAAACAAAUGAUACAAAGUGAUAUAGUCUUAAAAAA